UACGGAGGGUGCAAGCGUUAUCCGGAUUCACUGGGCUUAAAGGGAGCGUAGGUGGGUUGGUAAGUCAGUGGUGAAAGCCCUGGGCUCAACCCAGGAAGUGCAUUCGAGACUGGCGCGCUUGAAUAUGGAAGAGGGUCGCGGAAUUCCCGGUGUAGAGGUGAAAUUCGUAGAUAUCGGGAGGAACACCAGUGGCGAAGGCGGCGACCUGGGCCAAUAUUGACGCUGAGGUGCGAAAGCGUGGGGAGCAAACAGG
rnacentral:rRNA from 1 species